GAUGAACGCUGGCGGCGUGCCUAAUACAUGCAAGUCGAGCGAACGGACGAGAAGCUUGCUUCUCUGAUGUUAGCGGCGGACGGGUGAGUAACACGUGGAUAACCUACCUAUAAGACUGGGAUAACUUCGGGAAACCGGAGCUAAUACCGGAUAAUAUUUUGAACCGCAUGGUUCAAAAGUGAAAGACGGUCUUGCUGUCACUUAUAGAUGGAUCCGCGCUGCAUUAGCUAGUUGGUAAGGUAACGGCUUGCCAAGGCAACGAUGCAUAGCCGACCUGAGAGGGUGAUCGGCCACACUGGAACUGAGACACGGUCCAGACUCCUACGGGAGGCAGCAGUAGGGAAUCUUCCGCAAUGGGCGAAAGCCUGACGGAGCAACGCCGCGUGAGUGAUGAAGGUCUUCGGAUCGUAAAACUCUGUUAUUAGGGAAGAACAUAUGUGUAAGUAACUGUGCACAUCUUGACGGUACCUAAUCAGAAAGCCACGGCUAACUACGUGCCAGCAGCCGCGGUAAUACGUAGGUGGCAAGCGUUAUCCGGAAUUAUUGGGCGUAAAGCGCGCGUAGGCGGUUUUUUAAGUCUGAUGUGAAAGCCCACGGCUCAACCGUGGAGGGUCAUUGGAAACUGGAAAACUUGAGUGCAGAAGAGGAAAGUGGAAUUCCAUGUGUAGCGGUGAAAUGCGCAGAGAUAUGGAGGAACACCAGUGGCGAAGGCGACUUUCUGGUCUGUAACUGACGCUGAUGUGCGAAAGCGUGGGGAUCAAACAGGAUUAGAUACCCUGGUAGUCCACGCCGUAAACGAUGAGUGCUAAGUGUUAGGGGGUUUCCGCCCCUUAGUGCUGCAGCUAACGCAUUAAGCACUCCGCCUGGGGAGUACGACCGCAAGGUUGAAACUCAAAGGAAUUGACGGGGACCCGCACAAGCGGUGGAGCAUGUGGUUUAAUUCGAAGCAACGCGAAGAACCUUACCAAAUCUUGACAUCCUUUGACAACUCUAGAGAUAGAGCCUUCCCCUUCGGGGGGGCAAAGUGACAGGUGGUGCAUGGUUGUCGUCAGCUCGUGUCGUGAGAUGUUGGGUUAAGUCCCGCAACGAGCGCAACCCUUAAGCUUAGUUGCCAUCAUUAAGUUGGGCACUCUAAGUUGACUGCCGGUGACAAACCGGAGGAAGGUGGGGAUGACGUCAAAUCAUCAUGCCCCUUAUGAUUUGGGCUACACACGUGCUACAAUGGACAAUACAAAGGGCAGCGAAACCGCGAGGUCAAGCAAAUCCCAUAAAGUUGUUCUCAGUUCGGAUUGUAGUCUGCAACUCGACUACAUGAAGCUGGAAUCGCUAGUAAUCGUAGAUCAGCAUGCUACGGUGAAUACGUUCCCGGGUCU
rnacentral:rRNA from 1 species